GGCUUACGACCGAUCACAGGCAAGCACCUAUUUAUCGGCCCUUUCACGGCUGAAACACGGGUUCGAUUCCCGUAGGGGUCACCA
rnacentral:tRNA from 1 species